rnacentral:rRNA from 1 species
AGUGAACGCUGGCGGUAGGCCUAACACAUGCAAGUCGAACGGCAGCACAGUAAGAGCUUGCUCUUACGGGUGGCGAGUGGCGGACGGGUGAGGAAUACAUCGGAAUCUACUUUUUCGUGGGGGAUAACGUAGGGAAACUUACGCUAAUACCGCAUACGACCUACGGGUGAAAGCAGGGGAUCUUCGGACCUUGCGCGAUUGAAUGAGCCGAUGUCGGAUUAGCUAGUUGGCGGGGUAAAGGCCCACCAAGGCGACGAUCCGUAGCUGGUCUGAGAGGAUGAGCAGCCACACUGGAACUGAGACACGGUCCAGACUCCUACGGGAGGCAGCAGUGGGGAAUAUUGGACAAUGGGCGCAAGCCUGAUCCAGCCAUACCGCGUGGGUGAAGAAGGCCUUCGGGUUGUAAAGCCCUCUUGUUGGGAAAGAAAAGCAGCAGGUUAAUACCCCGCUGUUCUGACGGUACCCAAAGAAUAAGCACCGGCUAACUUCGUG